CCCAACAAUUGUCCCUCAAAUAACUCUCUGAAGCCACAUGAUCACCAGUGGUUUAACUCUCUGAAGCCACAUGAUCACCAGUGGUUUAACUCUCUGAAGCCACAUGUACACCAGUGGUUUAACUAUCUGAAGCCACAUGAUCACCAGUGGUUUAACUCUCUGAAGCCACAUGAUCACCAGGGGUUUAAUUCUCUGAAGCCACAUGAUCACCAGUGGUUUAACUCUCCAAGGCCACAUGAUCACCAGUGGUUUAACUCUCUGAAGCCACACGAUCACCAGUGGUUUAACUCUCUGAAGCCACACGAUCACCAGUGGUUUAACUCUCUGAAACCAAAUGUUACAUCCAGUUUGGGGGAUCCAUAAAAAUGGUCUCAUAACCUUCUUCCUGAGGCAACUGUUAUCUGAGUGAGUCCACACUGUUUGCACAGGGACAAUCACUGCAGGGAAACAAGAGAAGAUGACGAAGGCAACUCAUAAUGGCGUGUGUUUGUGUGUGUGUGUGUGUGUGUCCAAGGCAUAGAAGGAUAAUCAUAAAGAGAGAGAGAGAGAUGGACCUAAAGGGGGGGACAGAGCUGAUGAGAUGGAGGUGCUGUAUAUAUAUCUGAGUCUGAACAGACCACACCACAGUCCAAGACUGACACCAAGGGAGACAGGCUGAGGGAGAGGAGGGAUAAGGAAUACUGGACAGAGAGACAGAAGACAUCAGGAGCUAAAGACGUUGUCCAAGAAGAGAGACAGAGGAUAGAGGGGGAGAAAGAGGAGGACGUGCGAGAGUUUCACAACAAAUAAACAGAGGGAUCUUUGAGGGACAAUGAUGACAGACCCAGUGAGGAUGAUGAGGAUGAUGCUGCUGGCUCUAGUCUUCAUCCUGAGUGUCACUCUGCCCUGUUUAUCUGUCUACAACAGUGGGGAGUGCUACUUCGAUACCAAAGGAAGCUGUGAGUACAUGGGCCAAGUAUAUGGAAUAGGUGAGAGUUGGAUGACCAAGGACUGUUACCAGUGUGUCUGUAUGGAUCCAUUUGGAGUGGGCUGCUGUGAUCAUGGAUCUCAACCCGUGGGCUACUGGUGUGGUGUGAUGUGAUCCGCAAGCCAGACUUCUGCAACAUCAUCGCUGUGAUGAAAGCCAAUCACAAGCUGCCUUGUCUGUGGGGACAGGGUUGUCUGAGGCCAGGAGCGCGACAGCCAUGGAAAUCUGACAGUGUCCCUUUAUUUGGUUCGGUCCAUAAUUUGCCACUCAUAAAUGGGAAGAUGAGAAAUGAUUAAAACACAGAUUGACUGAUAGUGUUUCCCACUCUUUCUUAUGAACAAAUGCAGAUGGACUGUUAUUAACACAGGCAGUGCUUGACUUGGACUGAAAUAGUUUCCGGUAAUCAGUUUGGGUGGCGGUACUGUUUAUAUUUAGGUGCAGGAGCUCCACAAUACUUUUGAGAUAAUAUUCUAUAAGAGGAACAGGAGCCCAAGCAGUAGAACGUUUGAGAUGUUGGUACUCAGCUCCAGUGAGCUCCUGAUAUAAUAGAAAUUCAUAUGAUUUAUAUGUUUAAGGUAAUGGUAAGAUAAUGACUAAAUUAUUUAUAUGUUUAAGGUAAUGUUAAGAUAAUGACAAAAAAUAUUCCACCAUAUAAUUGUAUAAAAUGUAUUAGAAUCAUAAAACUAUAAUCUGAUGAUGCGUGUAGUUUUAGUCAGAAUUAGAACAAGGACCUUUUAUUCCUUUUUAGUAUGUAAGCAGGGUGCAAGUGGGAAACAAAUGAUAAGAGGAGCUAUCGACAGACAAGUUGUAAUACUGUGUUCCUUACAGGACAUUCUGUCUCCACCCAUGGAGGGGAAAAACUGUUUGGCUUGCAGAAAAUUAGGAAACAUGU